rnacentral:rRNA from 1 species
GACGAACCGUGCGAACGUUGUUCGGAAUCACUGGGCUUAAAGGGCGCGUAGGCGGGCGAUCAAGUCAGGGGUGAAAUCUUUCGGCUCAACCGGAAAACAGCCCCUGAUACUGAUUGCCUAGAGGGAGGUAGGGGCAUGUGGAACUUCCGGUGGAGCGGUGAAAUGUGUUGAUAUCGGAAGGAACGCCGGUGGCGAAAGCGACGUGCUGGAUCUCUUCUGACGCUGAGGCGCGAAAGCUAGGGUAGCAAACGGG